rnacentral:rRNA from 1 species
UAAAGUUUUAACGCUUUGGGAAAGGCCUGUGCGAUAUCAGCUAGUUGGUAGUGUAAUGGACUACCAAGGCUAUGACGUCUAGGGGAGGUGAGAGCCUGACCCCCACCGAUGG